GGGGGUUUAGCUCAUCAGGUAGAGCGUCAGGUUCGCAAUCUGAAGGUGGCCGGUUCGAGUCCGGUAUCCUCCACAA
rnacentral:tRNA from 1 species